GAUGAACGCUAGCGGCAGGCUUAAUACAUGCAAGUCGAGGGGCAGCAUGAUUGUAGCAAUACAAUUGAUGGCGACCGGCAAACGGGUGCGGAACACGUACACAACCUUCCAAUAAGUGGGGAAUAGCCCAGAGAAAUUUGGAUUAAUACCCCGUAACAUAACGAUGUGGCAUCACAUCGUUAUUAUAGAUUUUUCGCUUAUUGAUGGGUGUGCGGCUGAUUAGAUAGUUGGCGGGGUAACGGCCCACCAAGUCUACGAUCAGUAGCUGAUGUGAGAGCAUGAUCAGCCACACGGGCACUGAGACACGGGCCCGACUCCUACGGGAGGCAGCAGUAAGGAAUAUUGGACAAUGGACGCAAGUCUGAUCCAGCCAUGCCGCGUGAAGGAUUAAGGCCCUCUGGAUUGUAAACUUCUUUUAUAAGGGACGAAAAAAGGCUUUUCUAAGUCGUCUGACGGUACCUUAUGAAUAAGCACCGGCUAACUCCGUGCCAGCAGCCGCAGUAAGAC
rnacentral:rRNA from 1 species